AUGAACAAAGCUUAGAAAUCCUUUUGUCAAAGAUGGAAGAUAAUUUAGAUCCUGAUAUAGAAUCAGAUUGUCUUUCAUCAUCUUCUUCUCUCAAAGAAAUUGUUUGCCAAUGGAGACAGCAAAUGCUAAGAAAUUCUCUUGGUCAUUCUCCUUUCUUGGUAUCAAGGCAUUUGAGCCAAUAUCGAAAAAGACUAAUAAGCAAAAUGGCCAGUAGAUGUUCCUUGACAUGGUGAGCAGCAUCAGAUUAAUGGUGAUCUGUUGAAAGAAGCUAGGGACUAGUUGUUCGCUACCCAGUGGCUGAAAGGAUCCGUCAGGCUCUUGGAAGAAACAAGUGGAGUGUAAUUACACGCAUGGCAGAGGCAGUUCCCUCCAGUGCUACAACUUCUUCUAUGGGUGUCACCCUGAGACCUUUCCCAGGUUUGGGUUCAGACUCCAUAUGCAGUUGUGACAAAGAGGGUGCAUUUACAUUCAGCUUGAGGCUUCCUUGAACAACCUGGAUGGAUUCAUCAAGCACAGUAGGAAAGCAAGGAGAUGGUGUACGAUGUACAUCCUCAGGAUCUAGCCAUCCGCUGAUCACCAUAUUUUCGCUGUUCAUCAACCAAGGAACUCUGGCCAUUUUGGUAUGUGCUUCAGGUAAUGAAUUUGAUCCAUCCCUUCCUUUUAUUUAAGCCCCCAUUAACCAUUUACUUGCCAUUAGAACAAGUGGAGAUAUCUAAUAAACAAAUAAAUCAGUUCUUUUGCUUUUCCUUUUUGCAUGCAUCUGCAAUAAUGACAAUGGCUCAGACAAAUAGUUUUCAUUGCUUGCAUUAUAGUCACAGAUAGGUGGCAUCACUUUUGUCUUUGAACUACUGGUUUUGUUUUCAAUUAAUGUCAAUGAAUAAUUCAAUUUUAGGCAACCAUUUCCUUCAGAGGAGUGGAAAUCCUUUUAAAGUAAAUGGGAAUAGACAUUCAGGCCUAA